AACACGAAGGGCUACGAGGGGAAAAAAACAACCCACACGGGGAGGAGUUUAAACGGACGGAGAAGGAGGGCUAAAAGCGAGCGCUCGCAAUGAAAAGGGAGUUUCGCAGUGAUGUCUCAACCCUGAGCACGAAAGGAGAAUUUGAGUUAUUUUACAACCAGCAUUUCAGAGGCAUGAAGCUGACCUGGCUGCACUAUCUCUGUACAGGAGGUGGAGGAGGCUCGUCCAGGAGGUGAUCCCCCCAAACCCCCUCCCCCAGCUAAGCUUUCAAACAGGAAACAGGAAACACAAGAGCCUGCGAGCAGAGCGACCAAUCCCACAAUGAACUUGCUGAACGUGAGCGGUACCGGCAAAGCCAUGUUUUCUCUUCUCACGUUUGCAGUCCUGUUUUUUAUUAUUAUAAUAAAUGUAUAAAUAUCAAUGCAAGACAAAGUGUUGUAAUAGAGCCGUAUACCAUUGUAUUUACUUUCAAAUGUAAAGAAUAAUAAUAAAUAGAGGUGACAAACAUGAUCCCGCUGCUUGUGAAAUAAAAAAACAAAUUAAUAAACCCAGA